UGACUGGGUCAAAGGAGAUCAACAUUGCUGUGGCUCUUUCAGGCGAUUAUCAUUUUGCUCUGCGUACACUGCCACCAGCUAUGUGCAGGUUCUCUUAAAUUCCGUGGAUUUUAACUUUGGCCCAUGACCUCCUUGACCUCUGGAAAUGUGACAUCCUGCACCUGCUGCAUCAGGGCUCUUCCCUGGUCUUGCCUACACUGGUGUCUACACAGAUGCCUCUUCCUGUCCAUAUCACUUGCUUCUGCCUAAAGUGGGUGCAGAAGAUAAUGAGACGGAUUCGACCGCGGUGAACAGACAGGCACACAAGGUGGAGCAGGCCCUGGUGAUAAGCCCCAAAUCAAGUGAGAGGAAGUAUGAGGAACCAGAUUGGAAGAUGGAGUCCAGUGCCCAGAGAUCAU